UGGGGAAUAUUGCACAAUGGGGGAAACCCUGAUGCAGCAACGCCGCGUGAAGGAAGAAGGCUUUCGGGUCGUAAACUUCUAUCGACGGGGAAGAAAAAAAUGACGGUACCCGCAUAAGAAGCCCCGGCUAACUACGUGCCAGCAGCCGCGGUAAUACGUAGGGGGCAAGCGUUAUCCGGAUUUACUGGGUGUAAAGGGUGAGUAGGCGGUUUAAUAAGUCAUGUGUGAAAUCCCCGGGCUUAACUCGGGAGCUGCACAAGAAACUGUUAAACUUGAGUGCAGGAGAGGUUGGCGGAAUUCCUAGUGUAGCGGUGAAAUGCGUAGAUAUUAGGAAGAACACCGGUGGCGAAGGCGGCCAACUGGACUGUAACUGACGCUGAGUCACGAAAGCGUGGGGAGCGAACA
rnacentral:rRNA from 1 species